AGUGCGACGACACUCGACAUUCGUACGCGAUAACUCGUCCGGCAAGCAUCGCAAUCCGCAGCGCGUGGCCAGCUCGAAAGUUCAGUGAAGUUGUAUAAACCAAACCCCAAAGUAUCAAAAUGGCCAAGCUGGGACUAUUGUUCAUUGUUAUCUUCUGCAUCGUUCAGCUGACCCUCGCUGCCCGUGUCCGCCGCGACGCGCUCGAUGACACCGUCGACACCAUCAAGAAGGGAAUCUCGGACACUUUCACCAAGGAGAACGUUGACAGCUUCCUCGGAAAACUGUCGGAGCUCGGAGAAGUGAUCAAGUCCAAGGCCGGUGAAAUCGGCGAAACGCUGAAGCAGAAGACCGACGAAGCCCUCAAGAAGGAAUAAGUGUGACGUCGAGGUCAGAACACCCCUUUUAGUUGUAGCUGUUUGUACUUUUGCAAAGCAAAAAAAAAGAAGAAGACUCGUGAUGAGAAGAGGAAGAAGAACAGUACCUAAUAAAGUUAAACACUAAAAAUUACAA